AGAUGGAUAGCCUCACCAGCCGGGUUGGUGAAGGUCAACGUCGAUGGAGCGGUGGCAAGGCGCGGCCGUGGCGGGGCCGUUGCCGCAGUAUGCCGAGACCACACGGGUCUAUAUCUAGGGUCCUCGACGGUGGUUUAUAAUGGAGUUUUUGAUCCGACGAUCUUGGAAACUUAUGCGUGCAGGGAGGCUCUGGCACUUGCUAGUGAUCUGCAAGUGUCACAUAUGAUAAUAGCAUCGGAUUGCCAAGGUGUGGUCAAUGACAUCAACCAAGGAACAGGAGGCCCGCACUCUGCGAUCAUCCAGGAGAUUUUGGGGCAUAGAAAUAUGUUCACUUCUGUUUCCUUUGUUCAUGAGCGUAGAAAUUUUAAUUUCGAGGCUCACAAUCUUGCCAAAUUAGCUUGUAAUCUUCAGUUUGGUAGACAUUUAUGGUUGGUCACCCUUAUGACCAACGUAUUGUACCCAUGA
rnacentral:rRNA from 1 species